rnacentral:tRNA from 1 species
UAUUCUGUGGCUUCCUGGGGUUAAGCACCGGACUAGCGAUACGGAGUCGUGGGUUCGAAUCCCACCAAAACAA